rnacentral:rRNA from 1 species
ACGGGUGCGUAACGCGUAGGAAUCUGCCUUGAAGAGGGGGACGACCCGAGGAAACUCGGGCUAAUACCGCAUAAUAUCGAGAGAUUAAAGCUGGGUGGUAACACCUGGCGCUUCAAGAGGAGCCUGCGUCCGAUUAGCUAGUUGGUGGGGUAAAAGCCCACCAAGGCGAUGAUCGGUAGCUGGUCUGAGAGGAUGACCAGCCACACUGGGACUGAGACACGGCCCAGACUCCUACGGGAGGCAGCAGUGGGGAAUAUUGGACAAUGGGGGCAACCCUGAUCCAGCAAUGCCGCGUGUGUGAAGAAGGCCUUCGGGUUGUAAAGCACUUUAGUUGGGGAGGAAGAUAUGUAUUUUAAGAGAUAACAUAUUUGACUGUACCCAAAGAAUAAGCACCGGCUAACUCUGUGCCAGCAGCCGCGGUAAUACAGAGGGUGCGAGCGUUAAUCGGAAUUACUGGGCGUAAAGGGCGCGUAGGCGGAUAAUUAAGUUAGAUGUGAAAUCCCUGGGCUUAACCUAGGAACUGCAUCUAAUACUGGUUAUCUAGAGUGCGGUAGAGGAUAGUGGAAUUUCCGGUGUAGC